CGAGAACCUGGGUAAACAUAAGCUGACGCUGCCUGGUAACGUUCAGCUAAUCAAGCGCCGCUCGCCAUGUGCUCGUCGAUCUAAUGCUGGGCUUUUCUGGCGACUUUCAAUACAGGGAGGCGGCCGGAGCCUGCAGUUGGGCGCUUCGUCCGGGGGGGGAAACUGAAGGUGCAUGGGCAUAAAGAGGAAACUGAGAGCGUGGUAGCAGCCUUUGGAGCCGAGGGGCAAGACCACACACAAAUUGGAAAAACAGCACCUCAAACUGCGCUUCGAUAGUCGACAACCCAAUGGCAUGAACACUGAAUUCUCCAAUUUCAGGCAACCAAUGCUGGAUUGUUGACCAGGAUCUGGAAAAAAACACCCUGGCGUAAACAGUCCUGGACAUCAACGUUUUUGCUUCACUUCUGGCACCUCACCGAAGGAUGAAACCAUGGGUCUGGGACAGUCAUGCCUGGGUGGUUGCAGAUUAUGUUUACAAGGCGAAUGUGCCGACAGCAACCGUUCAGCUGAGAGUCGCCUCCAAGUCCCUGAUAUCAUCAUAACACCUCCGACACCCAUCGUUCUCUCAACAGCCGGGACGUUGAGGCAAGCUGACAGGGACUCUCUGCUAGACGACACUCUCCCCAGCAGAUGUUAGCUGCGAGAAAAAAAUACCCUAUUUAUGUAAAAAGCCCAAGCACUGGGAUGACAUCAAGAAAGCUUCUUGUGUGUGGAAACGUUAAGAACAGAUUGCAGUCACCAACUGCCUCGAUUCACUUUGUGAUUGAAUGAUAGACUAGACACAGAUUCAUCCAUUGAUCUGCAAUGUUCUGUGGCUUUUCAAAAUGAAUGGCAGCAGCAAUACCGAACCUGGAUUGAAAAUGUAAACGUGUACAAAAGAUGCAGACUGCCUGUCUAAUGUAUGCCUUGCACUCUUUCACUUCCUCUUGGUGGGUCUCGCCAUCUCUUCGCCUCACAACCCAUCUGUCCAAGUGCAGCACCAUCAGACGUUAUUAUCUGCAUGCUACAAGUGCAAAUUGUUGUUACCAUUAUUUAGCAGCUUCCAUUUCUCGAGUACGGCAACAAACUAAAGAGCAACUGCACAUCAAUUGUAUACCAAACCGCGCGUUCACACCUAAACUGCUUUAAAGCACUGCUUGCCUUGAACUUGUGAGAAAACCAAAGAUGAUUUCCAUAAUGCAAUAAGAUUAUCAACAUGCAAAGAUCACUGCAAAGGAACGCCAGAUGGAGUGCCAUUUCAUUCUGACACUGUUGAUGCCUAAAGGAAUUUUUAAUGGGGUGUCAGACAGAUGGAAGUUUUUAAUUCACAUUGACAGGCAACAGAUGGUAAAAGGUGCAAUCUACAAGCGCCUGAUUUUAAAGAUGUCUUCUUUUUU